CCAGGCCCUUUCUUCCUAGAGACAUUCCAAUCUUCACUGAUUGAGGGCUAAAAAUGCCGUCCCCCAUUACUUGUCCUGACUCUUUCCCCUCCAUGCUGACUGCCCGAGUCAUAAUUUUCACUUAAUGCCACAGUCCUACUUGUCCACGGACUCUAGUAUUAUAACAAAGAACUCUUGUCCCUCAUGUUAAUCAAGAAACACCAAUUGAACAAGAGUUUCAUUUCAGCGAAUGACCAUCAAGGCGUGAUCUCCUAAGUCUCCUUUCUUUAAGAAAGGAAAAACCAUUCUGUCAUUGCUGCAGUAGCCACAGUCCCAAUUUUCCGAGCAGUGCUCAGUGGUCUUUGCUCAGUCUUGAGCACUCUUUGCACUAAUUCUUAUUGUCCAUAAUUUAUUCAUUUGGUUAGACUCUAGCUAGUCCAGCCCCAUUUGCAUUCAGCAGAGGGGCAAAUACAAGUCUGUUAAGAGACAGUUAAGGUGCUCGCUUCCAAUUCUCAAGGCCUUGGCUAUUAAAGGGGGGGCCACUAUAACCUGGCAUUGGUGCUAUCACCCCGGGUUACAAUUUUUAAGUUGAUGAUGGACAUAAAUUCAUUUGUCCAUGAUACUGUAUACUAGUCCCAUCAGCUCCCCUUUCAGCUGAAAACUUUGCAUGGGAACAUUGAUAUAGACGAUCCUAAUUAGAAACUGAACCAUUUCUCAAGGUCCUUCCUUGUACAGCCUUGCUUUACGUUAAGAGGGUGCUGAUUACCUAAAGCCUCUUAUACAAUUGUGCAAAACUGCUGUUGCUCAAGCCCCAUACCCUCACACUGUAAUGGGUGACAAUAGAGGGUACCACCGAUAAGGCCCUUUGUUCUGGUCUUUUGGCUGUGCUGGGAAUCAAACUUAAGUCUUGUGCACGCUGGUAAAGCACUCUGCCAUGGAGCUACAGCACCACCUUGUGGCCGAUUAAGAGUAAGUCUCUUUACGGAGCCUGGGCUGACACUUAAUUCAGUCCCUUCUCAGUCCCAGUUACUGGAACUACGUGCAUUGUCACAGCUUCUGCCUGUUUUUAUGCGCACAGCUGCAUUUGUCCUUAUUCCUGAGCAUUGGAUAAAGAAACCAAACUCAGUCGUUUAUUUAGCAAGACCUUUGAACUCAGAUUCAAACUGUUUUUGUUUAGAAUUUCCAGGCUGAUCAGGAACUUACUAUAUAGCCCAGGCUGGCCUUGAGCUCAGGAUCAAGCCUUUAUUUCACAAGUACUGGCAUAACUGGCAUCCACCGCCAUGCCCUGCAGUCUCACAGACUGAAUGUGCAUACUUCAUUUAGCUAUAGUAGUAUGCCUUGGGUAAUAACCUUAACAACCCGUUUUAUUGCAGCAAGAGGUGCCUAGUACUUAUGAUCCUUAAUACAGUAAGCGUGCACAGUGUUAAUUGCCUCAUAGAUAUUAUGUCCACAAUUGUGCCUUUUAGAUCGCAACUCCUGUACAUAUCAAAGCAAAGAGACUCACUAACAUUAUAGUCUCUUUCUUGGAACUAUAGAAAUGAUUCCAAUAUUGUUAAUGGUCCUUCAUUUAAUGGAACUAUGUAGGGGCUGUUGAUGUAAAGCCUUUUUCUCAGCCUGCUAAUGCACAUAAUGAUAAUUUCAGAAGGAUCACUUUUAGCCUCAUUUUGAAGUACAGCAGUGGUGGUGACCUAUAAGGUCCCAUGUUGUGGCUUGCUAAUAAUUGUCUGAUUGCAUUUGCUCUUUUCUGUUCGCUACAGAAGGACAUCACUGGCCACCCUUAUGCAUUUCCCUUUCACCAGGGAAUGCACAUUGCCAAAGAUUCUCAUGUUUGAACAGUCAAAGUGUAAAACUAUGAUGGCCACAACCAUGUACCUUGAGUACAACUGCGCAUGCCUCCUUCCAUUUGAAUAAGAGCCUACUCUCAGACCCUUUUGCAGUACAGCAAGGGUCACUAAUCUCUUGGCUUCUCCGUCUUCCUAGACACCGAGUAAGGCUCUCUCCUCUCCUUUCCACUGCCUUUGAUUUCCAGCAGUGACCAUUACUUUAAGGUCUUAAUAUUUGUGGAAAGGAUGUGGCUUUAAUUAACCACACUGUGUCCCUUGAACAUUAAUGUACACAAAAGGGACAUGAUUCAUUCAUUUUAAUAAGAAUAUUUGGCCAGUUAAUGUGCAAAAUUGCACUUCUCCACGACCUUAUUACUUUGAGGACCAUUGUGUCUCUUUUGCACUAUUGCAGGGGAUACUAGUUUCCAAGGUCCCUGCUAGUGGACCAUUAAAAUACAGUGGAAAUUUUCCUUUCUCAGUAGACAAAGUCCUAUUCUUUCACCUUUCAUUUGCAGUACGGCAGGGUAUGCUGAUCAACCAAGGCUGCCUUCUUUUGGACUGUCAGUAUGUAUUAUAUGUUGUAUGUAUGUAUAUGCGUUUCCUCCUGCUCUGUGCACUCGAAAAGGAUCCCACUCGCUCCUUAUUACUUUUAGGAGGAAGUGGAAAGUUCACAUGCACAGUGGCUAAGCACUUCUUGUAUCAGAAACUCUAUACCCUCUUCCUCUGCUUUAAAGCAGAAAGAGGUUUUCCCACUGUGCCUUUCAUUUGGACUUCAGUGUGCAUUAACGCAGUUGUCCAUCCUUACCUUUGGAGUAGGAUUUUACAUCCUUGUACUCCCUUGACAUCAGAGGCACAUUAACUAUUUUUUGAGCACUUCUCUCUUACGUAUAUUAAUAUGUAUGCUUACACCUACGGACCUGUGUAGCGCAAAAAGGUUCCUAAGUUUCUACCUUUUGACUGGGGCUGCUGAGGAGUGAUAACUGCUUAUAACCUCAGCAUCUGGAUGACUGAUUGCUGUGCAACCAUGUUAAGAGUACCAAUUAUUAGUUGGACCUCCGUACUCUCUUUACAUACCAUUCAAGAGUACUGACCAACUGAGCCCCUGAGUUAUUAAUAAGUGUGCGUAUUUGCAAUUAUGAAUGCCUAGAAUACUAUGUUCUCAUACCCCCUUUGCAUCACUCCAGGGGCUGCUGAUCCAUCUAAAACAUCUGGGACUGUUAAUGAGCACAGUGGUUAUGACCAACGGCUUAUUCGGGGACUAUUAACAGGCACAAUGGCAGCUCUUGAUGGUUUAUUUUCUACUCUGACAUGUUGAGCAAAUCCCCUCCUAGUUUCCCCCUGGCAUAAUAAAGUAAAAUACUGCAGUAUGCCUAUGCUUUGUACACCCAACAGUGGCCCAUCUUUCCAUCCCUUUUGCUUGCUCCAGUACACAAAACCCCAAAUAGUCACGAUCUCAUACUUUUAUGCAGUCUUCCCUCUGCCCGGCCCCUAGUUUGUCCAUGGACCACUCUUAUGGACUACUAAUCUCACAACCCAAAGUUGAAGACCUUGGCACCCUUUUCCCAGUUCCAUCACCCUGUCCCGUCUGCCUCUUUGUUGAGCCCUUCUCUUGACUUAAAGUCAACAAUCCCAGAUGUCAUCAGCUUACCCGCUGCACAUGGCUGCAGUGUUUCAGUUGCCCUCUGCUUGGUCCUCCCUGUUGAACGGAAACACCUCCACCGCACUACACUGGCAAUUACCUGUGUGUCAUUAAUGAACACAGCACCGAUGGACGGUCCCACUUUUCAGCCCAUGUGUCCCAGAGCUCCCUGCAACUUUGUAUUUGUACAUGUAAAAUUUCAAAAGCGGGCCAAAGCUAGGUGGAUGAAGCAUCACUCUUAAGCCUGCAUUUCUUAAUUACUCCAAUUCCAAUUGCUGGCAUAUUCUAGGGCCAGGAAUCAUUCCUGCCCACCUUUAUUAAUGCUUUAUUGUGCCAAAAAUAUUUCAGGCAACUUGCUCAGGGAGCUGGAUUGCCACCUUUUAUUUGGGGCUUUCCUUAUACAGUAUCAAAUGAAAAUUGUCUCCCAAAGAAGGAGGAUGAGCUAGUACUUUCUUUACACCCUUCCUCCAGGAGCUGACCGCCUGCUUAACAAACUCAACUUGUUUCUCUUGGUAUAUUGCUACGUACAGUGCCAACUGCCAGAAAAGUUAUUGAUAGUUUAUGCCUUUAAGAAAGGCCUCUGGCUUGCCAGGUGGAAUUGAUUAUGUGAUCAUUAGCUUUUCUGAAGUAAAAAUAUCUUGCUUCUACUAUAUAUCUGAUGACCAAGCAGUGUCUCUCAUUUUACUGAGGGUGGCGAGUCUGUGGAGAAACCACUGUAACUGUUAUUCCAAUACCGUCAAAGUGGUUGUAGAAUGGCGUGCUUAAGGCCAGGAUGUAUGUUUGGUCCGUACUACCAGUUUAAAUACAAAAGUCAAUCUUUGUGUGGCCUUUAGUAUCAUUGUCUUUAAGGAAAAUGACCAAACAUUUUAAUAUUUAAAUUUGGCCUGACAUUGAACGCUAGCCCCUACUGAUUUUAAGAAGGUGGCUGCGAAAGGAUUGCAAGGACACGUCACGUUGUCUUUGAGUAGGCCACCAUGUGAUUAAUUCACUCUAUCUGCCAUUAAAUUUGGGCAAUGAUUUGAAGUAGCUUGAAAAAAGCCACCCUAAAGUGGGAACUUAAAUAAAAUGAUGGAGCCUGUUUCCCCACUUUACAUUUUAAUAUUUUAACAUUUUAAUAUGCCCAGACCUAAUCAUUCUUGAGAGUACACUUCAAAGAGAGAUCUGCCUAUUAAGAAAAUAUCUGUCUCUAUUGGCGCCGAGUAUUUAAGCUUUCUGGUUUUCGUUCUUUAAUUAUUGUGCAUGAAUAAGUGUGUGUGUGUGUGUGUGUGUGUGUGUGUGUGUGCGUGUGUGUGUGCGCGCGCGCGUGCGCGCGCACGUUUGCAUGUGCACUUGAGUAUAUCUGUACUCGUGCAUUCUCAUUGGUGACCAGAGAGCAAUGGAAACUGGUUCUACCUUGUGGGUCCCUGGAGAUAAAAACUCAGAUCGUCAGGUUUGGCAGCAAGUGCCUUCACUCUCUGAGCCAUCUUGCCAGCCCGCUCCUGGGUACUGAAUGUGACAUUGCUGAUGAAACCACAGUUCUUCCAAGUUUCUGAAAAAAAAAAAAUACCAUUUUUCUGAGAAGGAUGUCAAGAAAUCGACCCAGUUCAGGAUACAGAUUGAGCUUCAGCCCUUCAGAAGACUCUGGAAUACGGGAUGAAUUUGGAGUUGGUUUUGUGCCUCCAUUGAAGAAGGAUGGCCUGGUUUUAGAAGAAUGGAUUCUAGACAGCAUCCAAAGAUCUUUCCCCAGAAGUAUGGACUUGUUGCCUUGCGGUGCUGGCGACCUAUUCCCUUUGACGACCCCUAGGUGGAGAUGGGGCAUGAGGGUCCUCCAGGGGAAGAGCUCACCAGCACUGGGCAACAGUCCUAGCCGGGAGAUUUGGGGGAGAUACUUCGCUGAACCCAGCAAGGAAGAUAAAGAGUCAAAGACAGCCACCCAACAUCAAAAUAGGAGAAAAGCUGCCACAGCCCUGGCACUUCUGAAAGCCACCCUGGAAGCCCUGUAGGAGAACUUAACCAGCUGUUUCCACACUGCAAGAUUCACUGUGCUUCCAUUCAGUAGACCAAAUCGUCAUCCUUACCAAAGCUGGGCCUUCAGCAGGAUCGCGAAAUGGGAACACAUGAAAGGAAGCCAGCUUUAUAACCCAAGGACCAACAUGCCUGCAUCUUAAAGCAACAGAAUGAAUGUGUACUGUGUUGGGUGUCUAUUUCUUAAUUGUUUUAUACAUCUAUUUCUUCCUUCCUUUGUGUGUCUCAUUCUUCGAUGUAUUCAUUUCUUCCCUUGAUUUGUGUGUCUUUUUUCCUAGCUUUGUGUGUCUUUCUUUCUUGCUCUUUUUCUUUGAUGUAUCUAUUGAUGUAUCUAUUUCUUCCUCGUCUUGUAUGUCUUUCUUCUUCACCUUGUGUGUCUCCUUCCUUCCUUCCUUUCUUGCCGUGUUUUUUUCUCUCUUUCUAUGUCUUUCUUCCUCUCCUUGUAUGUCAUUCUUUCUUGCCAUGUAUGUCUUUGUCCCUUGCUUUGUUGUAUGUCUUUCUCCUUUGCUUUGUUGUAUGU